GAUGAACGCUAGCUACAGGCUUAACACAUGCAAGUCGAGGGGAAACGACAUCGAAAGCUUGCCUUUGAUGGGCGUCGACCGGCGCACGGGUGAGUAACGCGUAUCCAACCUGCCCAUCACUUGGGAAUAACCUUGCGAAAGUAAGACUAAUACCCAAUGAUAUCCCACGAAGGCAUCGGAAUGGGAUUAAAGAUUUAUCGGUGAUGGAUGGGGAUGCGUCUGAUUAGCUUGUUGGCGGGGUAACGGCCCACCAAGGCAACGAUCAGUAGGGGUUCUGAGAGGAAGGUCCCCCACAUUGGAACUGAGACACGGUCCAAACUCCUACGGGAGGCAGCAGUGAGGAAUAUUGAUCAAUGGGCGAGAGCCUGAACCAGCCAAGUAGCGUGCAGGAAGACGGCCCUAUGGGUUGUAAACUGCUUUUAUAAGGGAAUAAAGUGGGUCACGUGUGACUUUUUGCAUGUACCUUAUGAAUAAGGACCGGCUAAUUCCGUG
rnacentral:rRNA from 1 species